rnacentral:rRNA from 1 species
GACGAACGCUGGCGGUGUGCUUAACACAUGCAAGUCGAACGAUGAACCUUCCAUGAUCUAUUCGUAGAGAUUGGGAGCGGAUUAGUGGCGAACGGGUGAGUAACGCGUGAGCAACCUGCCUUAAACAACGGGAUAGCCUCGGGAAACCGGGAUUAAUACAGUAUGAGACCCCGCUUCCACAUGAAGAAGAGGUUAAGGAUUUAUCGGUUUAAGAUGGGCUCGCGUCUGAUUAGCUAGUUGGUGAGAUAAAAGCCCACCAAGGCAACGAUCAGUAACCGGCUUGAGAGAGUGAACGGUCACAUUGGAACUGAGACACGGUCCAAACUCCUACGGGAGGCAGCAGUGGGGAAUAUUGCACAAUGGGGGAAACCUUGAUGCAGCGACGCCGCGUGAGCGAUGAAGGAAUUCGUUUCGUAAAGCUCUGUCCUAGGGGAAGAUAAUGACAGUACCCUUGGAGGAAGCCCCGGCUAAAUACGUGCCAGCAGCCGCAGUAA